CAGCCGCCGCGGGAAUACGUAGGUGGCAAGCGUUGUCCGGAAUUAUUGGGCGUAAAGGGCUCGCAGGCGGUUUCUUAAGUCUGAUGUGAAAGCCCCCGGCUCAACCGGGGAGGGUCAUUGGAAACUGGGAAACUUGAGUGCAGAAGAGGAGAGUGGAAUUCCACGUGUAGCGGCGAAAUGCGUAGAGAUGUGGAGGAACACCAGUGGCGAAGGCGACUCUCUGGUCUGUAACUGACGCUGAGGAGCGAAAGCGUGGGGAGCGAACAGGAUUAGAUACCCCGGUAGUCCCUGUCUCUUAUAC
rnacentral:rRNA from 1 species